rnacentral:misc_RNA from 1 species
UAGGGAGACCUAAUCCAUUUAGAAAUCGAAAACAAUGAAAAUUGUCAAUAGAAACUAAAUUGGUCUAACCUAGGUCGUUCGAGAUUGGUAGACAUCUUUCAAAGUAUUAUUCGGCUUCGUUCAAAACCAUAUAUAAUAAAUGGAAAAAGACAGCACCUAAUUGUCAAAGUUAGACUGCUGGAUGAAGUUCCAGCCAGAACCUUGAAAACUGCAUAAGAGAACAAGAAAAAGCAGGCAGACACAGACAUUUAGUUGGAUGUGGAAGCAAAAGAAAUUGU